rnacentral:lncRNA from 1 species
GUGACUUGUGCAAUAUUUCUCUUAACGUCUAAGGUAUUCAAAAAAUGGCAGCAGCCAGAAGUCGCCAUCUUAUCCAGCACGUUAUGGGUACACUAUGGCGGCUCCUACUCCUGCGUCCUACCACCACCCUGUCCUGACUACGUCCACUAGGGAGUUGGGAGCCUUUGGCGGCUUUUGCCACUGCAUCCUGCCGCCACCAUGUCCCAACUACGUCCACUAGGGAGCUGGCAAGCUUAGUGAUGAUGCCAGCAGGCUCACAGCCGA